rnacentral:lncRNA from 10 species
CUGUGACCGCCCUUGCCGCUCUCAGCUUCUGUUCCUCAACCACGGCCGCCGCGUGGAUGCCGCUGCAUUCGGAGUCGUUUUGCCACUUGGUCCCAGCGCCAGGCUUCUCGGUCGGGAGUUGACCUCAGCCUUUCUGUGACCCAGUUCCUGGCACCCAGCAGGCGCUCGGUGGACGGAUGGGUGGCGGAAUGAAGGACACAGAGGCCACUGCGGGGUCUGGCCUCUAAGAGGCUUUUACGGCCUCCUCCGUCACUACCGGGCGAGUGAUUCAGCCUGCCUUUUUUUUUUUUUUUUUUUUUUGAGAUGGAGUCAAGCUCUGUCGCCCAGGCUGGAGUGCAGUGGCACGAUCUCGGCUCACUGCAACCUCCGCCUCCCAGGUUCAAGCGAUUUUCCUGCCUCAGCCUCCUGAGUAACUGGGAUUACAGGUGCCCGCCACCACGUCCGGCUAAUUUUUUUUCUAUUUUUAGUAGAGACGGGGGUUUCACUGUUUUGGCCAGGCUGGUCUCGAGCUCCUGAUCUCGUGAUCCGCCCGCUUCGGCCUUACAAAGUGCUGGGAUUACAAGCGUGAGCCACCGUGCCCGGCUCAUCCUGCUUUUGGUUUCAGGUCUCCAUGCCAGUGAAAUGUCACCUCAACUCCACCGUCCCUGGUGUCAGGCAAGCCCGAGGGACCCAAUUCUGCCUUUCUUCUGGAUUUUCCUAACCUGUUAAGAGUCUUGAAAGUCCUUAAACCACGGGAGACUAUCUGGCACAUGACACGGGAUGAGACUUGGUGGGGGUCCCACGGGGGACAGGUCCUUCCAGCGGUUCCUCUGCACCCAGCGCUGCACGGGCAUGGGGCGUGGGUAAUCAGCCUCCCGAAAGCCACGCGAGUCACGGUCCUGCCUGCGAAGAACUCCCAGGGCGACCUUGGGGCUGAGGAGUGGGCCUGCUUCGGCCUUCUGCUCUUCUGUUGUGUGGUGACCCUCACCAGAGGACAGCUUCAUGCUCUUGGACUUCCCAGCCUCAAGAACUGUAAGAAAUAAAUUUCUUUAUAAGUUGCCCAGUCUGUGGUAUUUGGUUAUAGCAGCAGGAAAUGGAGUGAGACAAUGCCCUUUACCAGAUCAAAUUCCCUUUCAUUUCUACUUUGCUGUUUUUACCAUUAAUAGAAUGUGAAAUAUAACAAUAAACAAUAACGUUUGACACUUUGAAACGUAUCAAAUGUUAUUUUUUGGCGUCUAUUGAGAUGAUUAUAUUGUUUUUCUCUUUUAUGCUAUUCAAAUGUUUAAUCAAAUUGACUUUCAAAUGUUGCAUCUAACUUGAAUUCCUGGGUCAAAUUUCACUUGUCAUGAUGUAUUAUCUUUUUUACAUAUUGCUAGGUUUGAUUUGCUAAUACUUUCUUAAGCAUAUUUUUGUGUCUGUAUUCAUGAGAGAUAUUGAUUUAUCAUUGUCUUUUUCUGUAAUGUCUUUCUAAGUUUGGGUAUACUCAUUAUUCUGGCUUUAUAAAAUAAACUCAGUUUCCUGAGAGUCUUAUAAGAUUAGCAUUAUUUCUUCUUUCAAUGUUUGAUACCAUUCACCAGUAACACCAUCUGGACUUGGUGAUAAUUUUUGUUGUUUUUCUUUUGGGGUAUGUAUGUGUCUGAAGGUUUUUGAUAAUAAAUUCAAAUCCUAUAAUAGAUAUGAGUUUUUC